rnacentral:sRNA from 1 species
UGGAAAGGUAAAAGUCGUAACAAGGUUUCCGUAGGUGAACCUGCGGAAGGAUCAUUACAGAAUGAAAAGUGCUUAACUGCAUUUUUUCUUACACAUGUGUUUUUCUUUUUUUGAAAACUUUGCUUUGGUAGGCCUUCUAUAUGGGGCCUGCCAGAGAUUAAACUCAACCAAAUUUUAUUUAAUGUCAACCGAUUAUUUAAUAGUCAAAACUUUCAACAACGGAUCUCUUGGUUCUCGCAUCGAUGAAGAACGCAGCGAAAUGCGAUAAGUAAUAUGAAUUGCAGAUAUUCGUGAAUCAUCGAAUCUUUGAACGCACAUUGCGCCCUUUGGUAUUCCAAAGGGCAUGCCUGUUUGAGCGUCAUUUCUCCCUCAAACCCUCGGGUUUGGUGUUGAGCGAUACGCUGGGUUUGCUUGAAAGAAAGGCGGAGUAUAAACUAAUGGAUAGGUUUUUUCCACUCAUUGGUACAAACUCCAAAACUUCUUCCAAAUUCGACCUCAAAUCAGGUAGGACUACCCGCUGAACUUAAGCAUAUCAAUAGCNGGAGGAA